UUGCAAACAAAAUGUUGAGAAAAUGUUUUUAGUAAUACAAGGCAAGCCAUCUGUGAAUUAAUGUGCAUAAAUGAUAGUACUCCUAUCUCUAGUCAGAUUCAAGGAACCCAAAAAGACAAACUCUCUUCCUCCAUGUUGGCUUGGGUUUGCUACUGUUUAACCAGUAAACCAUGAUCUUCAAAAUUUUUAACAGCAUCCAUCAGAGUCUCUUCCAAAGGCUUAAACUUCCAUCCCAAUUCCUCCAAUUUCUUGGAACUCAAUUUCCAGGAAGUCAGCUUCUUUUCAGUGAAACUAUCAUGAAUAUAUAUAUAUAUAUAUAUAUAUAUAUAUAUAUAUAUAUA
rnacentral:lncRNA from 1 species